rnacentral:rRNA from 1 species
UGCAGUCGAGCGACUGAUUAGAAGCUUGCUUCUAUGACGUUAGCGGCGGACGGGUGAGUAACACGUGGGCAACCUGCCUGUAAGACUGGGAUAACUUCGGGAAACCGAAGCUAAUACCGGAUAGGAUCUUCUCCUUCAUGGGAGAUGAUUGAAAGAUGGUUUCGGCUAUCACUUACAGAUGGGCCCGCGGUGCAUUAGCUAGUUGGUGAGGUAACGGCUCACCAAGGCAACGAUGCAUAGCCGACCUGAGAGGGUGAUCGGCCACACUGGGACUGAGACACAGCCCAGACUCNUACGGGAGGCAGCAGUAGGGAAUCUUCCGCAAUGGACGAAAGUCUGACGGAGCAACGCCGCGUGAGUGAUGAAGGCUUUCGGGUCGUAAAACUCUGUUGUUAGGGAAGAACAAGUACGAGAGUAACUGCUCGUACCUUGACGGUACCUAACCAGAAAGCCACGGCUAACUACGUGCCAGCAGCCGCGGUAAUACGUAGGUGGCAAGCGUUAUCCGGAAUUAUUGGGCGUAAAGCGCGCGCAGGCGGUUUCUUAAGUCUGAUGUGAAAGCCCACGGCUCAACCGUGGAGGGUCAUUGGAAACUGGGGAACUUGAGUGCAGAAGAGAAAAGCGGAAUUCCACGUGUAGCGGUGAAAUGCGUAGAGAUGUGGAGGAACAC